rnacentral:lncRNA from 1 species
AUGGGACUGGUCAACCUAACAAGAAAAGGCCAAUUUUUUUUUUUUUUUUUUUUUUUUUUUUUUUUUUUUUUUUUUUUUUUUUUUUUUUUUUUUUUUUUUUUUUUUUUUUUUUUUUUUUUUUUUUUUUUUUUUUUUUUUUUUUUUUUUUUUUUUUUUUUUUUUUUUUUUUUUUUUUUUUUUUUUUUUUUUUUUUUUUUUUUUUUUUUUUUUUUUUUUUUUUUUUUUUUUUUUUUUUUUUUUUUUUUUUUUUUUUUUUUUUUUUUUUUUUUUUUUUUUUUUUUUUUUUUUUUUUUUUUUUUUUUUUUUUUUUUUUUUUUUUUUUUUUUUUUUUUUUUUUUUUUUUUUUUUUUUUUUUUUUUUUUUUUUUUUUUUUUUUUUUUUUUUUUUUUUUUUUUUUUUUUUUUUUUUUUUUUUUUUUUUUUUUUUUUUUUUUUUUUUUUUUUUUUUUUUUUUUUUUUUUUUUUUUUUUUUUUUUUUUUUUUUUUUUUUUUUUUUUUUUUUUUUUUUUUUUUUUUUUUUUUUUUUUUUUUUUUUUUUUUUUUUUUUUUUUUUUUUUUUUUUUUUUUUUUUUUUUUUUUUUUUUUUUUUUUUUUUUUUUUUUUUUUUUUUUUUUUUUUUUUUUUUUUUUUUUUUUUUUUUUUUUUUUUUUUUUUUUUUUUUUUUUUUUUUUUUUUUUUUUUUUUUUUUUUUUUUUUUUUUUUUUUUUUUUUUUUUUUUUUUUUUUUUUUUUUUUUUUUUUUUUUUUUUUUUUUUUUUUUUUUUUUUUUUUUUUUUUUUUUUUUUUUUUUUUUUUUUUUUUUUUUUUUUUUUUUUUUUUUUUUUUUUUUUUUUUUUUUUUUUUUUUUUUUUUUUUUUUUUUUUUUUUUUUUUUUUUUUUUUUUUUUUUUUUUUUUUUUUUUUUUUUUUUUUUUUUUUUUUUUUUUUUUUUUUUUUUUUUUUUUUUUUUUUUUUUUUUUUUUUUUUUUUUUUUUUUUUUUUUUUUUUUUUUUUUUUUUUUUUUUUUUUUUUUUUUUUUUUUUUUUUUUUUUUUUUUUUUUUUUUUUU